rnacentral:rRNA from 1 species
CGUAGGGUGCAAGCGUUAAUCGGAAUUACUGGGCGUAAAGCGUGCGCAGGCGGUGAUGUAAGACGGGUGUGAAACUCCCCGGGCUUAACCUGGGAACUGCAUUUGUGACUGCAUCGCUGGAGUGCGGCAGAGGGGGAUGGAAUUCCGCGUGUAGCAGUGAAAUGCGUAGAUAUGCGGAGGAACACCGAUGGCGAAGGCAAUCCCCUGGGCCUGCACUGACGCUCAUGCACGAAAGCGUGGGGAGCAAACAGGAUUAGAUACCCUGGUAGUCCACGCCCUAAACGAUGUCAACUGGUUGUUGGGUCUUCACUGACUCAGUAACGAAGCUAACGCGUGAAGUUGACCGCCUGGGGAGUACGGCCGCAAGGUUG